GCCAGACUCCUACGGGAGGCAGCAGUGGGGGAUAUUGCACAAUGGGGGGAACCCUGAUGCAGCGACGCCGCGUGGGUGAAGAAGUAUUUCGGUAUGUAAAGCCCUAUCGGCAGGGAAGAAAUUGGACGGUACCUGACUAAGAAGCCCCGGCUAACUACGUGCCAGCAGCCGCGGUAAUACGUAGGGGGCAAGCGUUAUCCGGAUUUACUGGGUGUAAAGGGGGCGCAGACGGCGAUGCAAGUCUGGAGUGAAAGGCGGGGCUCAACCCCCGGACUGCUCUGGAAACUGUACGGCUGGAGUGCAGGAGAGGUAAGUGGAAUUCCUAGUGUAGCGGUGAAAUGCGUAGAUAUUAGGAGGAACACCAGUGGCGAAGGCGGCUUACUGGACUGUAACUGACGUUGAGGCUCGAAAGCGUGGGGAGCAAACAGGAUUAGAUACCCCAGUACG
rnacentral:rRNA from 1 species